UACGUAGGGUGCAAGCGUUAUUCGGAUUCACUGGGCGUAAAGGGUGCGCAGGCGGCCAAGUGUGUUAGGCGUGAAAGCCCGGGGCUUAACCUCGGAAUUGCACCUAAAACUACUUGGCUAGAGCAUUGGAGAGGGUAGCGGAAUUCACGGUGUAGCAGUGAAAUGCGUAGAUAUCGUGAGGAACACCAGAGGCGAAGGCGGCUACCUGGACAAUUGCUGACGCUCAGGCACGAAAGCGUGGGGAGCAAAAGGG
rnacentral:rRNA from 1 species